ensembl:snRNA U6 U6 spliceosomal RNA
GUGCUCGCUUCGGCAGCACAUAUACUAAAAUUGGAACCAUACAGAGAAGAUUAGCAUGGCCCCUGCACAAGGAUGACACGCAAAUUCAUGAAGCAUUCCAUAUUUUU